UAUCAAUAAGCGGAGGAAAAGAAACCAACAGGGAUUGCCUUAGUAACUGCGAGUGAAGCGGCAAAAGCUCAAAUUUGAAAUCUGGCGCCUUCGGCGUCCGAGUUGUAAUUUGGAGAGACAUCUUCGGAGUAGACGCCGUCCUAAGUUCCUUGGAACAGGACGUCACAGAGGGUGAGAAUCCCGUGCCUGGAUGGCUGUUCUACUUCAUGUGAAGUGUCUUCGACGAGUCGAGUUGUUUGGGAAUGCAGCUCAAAAUGGGAGGUAAAUUUCUUCUAAAGCUAAAUAUUGGCGAGAGACCGAUAGCGCACAAGUAGAGUGAUCGAAAGAUGAAAAGCACUUUGAAAAGAGAGUUAAAAAGUACGUGAAAUUGUUGAAAGGGAAGCGCUUGAGACCAGACUCGAUCAGUGGUGAUCAGCGGUGCUUCUGUACCGUGCACUUGCCAUUGAUUGGGCCAGCAUCGGUUUAGACGGCGGGAUAAAGACCUGAGGAAUGUGGCUCCCUCCGGGGAGUGUUAUAGCCUUGGGUGCAAUGCCGCCAGUCUGGACCGAGGACCGCGCUUCGGCUAGGAUGCUGGCGUAAUGGUCUUCAGCGACCCGUCUUGAAACACGGACCAAGGAGUCUAACAUCUAUGCGAGUGUUCGGGUGGAAAACCCUUGCGCGUAAUGAAAGUGAACGGAGGUGAGAACACUUCGGUGUGCAUCAUCGACCGAUCCUGAUGUCUUCGGAUGGAUUUGAGUAUGAGCAUAGCUGUUGGGACCCGAAAGAUGGUGAACUAUGCCUGAAUAGGGUGAAGCCAGAGGAAACUCUGGUGGAGGCUCGCAGCGGUUCUGACGUGCAAAUCGAUCGUCAAAUUUGGGUAUAGGGGCGAAAGACUAAUCGAACCAUCUAGUAGCUGGUUCCUGCCGAA
rnacentral:rRNA from 1 species